AUGUCACCCUCAGAGCCUCUGGGGGUUGCAGGAAAGGAAGAGACAUUUGGCUUCCACUGCAAAAUGAGCUGGGGUAAUAAAGCAGCUUUCAUUCCCUGUGGGUUGAGGGGAGAGCCCUUAAAGCCUGAGCAGAGGAGGGGAUUUGAUGCUCACUUUAGUUUAGCCUGGGGAGCGGCUCGGCCUGGCCUCGGCAGCAUCAGGGAUCCCCCCAGGGGCAGGGAAGGGGCACCGCUUUGUGGGGAGGGCGAGACCCACCUUGCUCCCCCACACCAACCUGUGUCACUGGAGCAGCCCUGGGAUUUCCUUAUUUCUGCAGAGCCUGGGACCCCACAGCCCCCUCUGGAGCCCGGUUCCUCCUGCCCAGGCUGCACGUUUGCCCUUUUGUGGAGCAGCACGGCUGGCAGGUCCCAGUGGAUGCACUUCACCCCACCGGCCCCAGGCAGGAGGCUGCCAGCCCUGGGGAUACCAGCCCUGGCAAGGGCUCUGCCAGAGUCCUCCGAGAGCUGCAGCAAAGGAGAUGUUCCCACCAAAUCAAAAACCCCCAAGAAUCUGCCAACACGCAGGAGAGCAGGUGCUUCUCUGCAGAAGGAGCCUGUCCUGCAAGGCCUUGCUGUGCUCCGGGGGCUGCUACCCUGGCACCCCCUUGGAAGAGGCUCCCAUGGCUGGAGGCAGGAGCUGGGGCUGGACGGCAGCGCAGGGGCAGGAGGAGCGCCGGCGAGAGCAGCCUGCAGUGAGCAUCAAAGGCAAACCCCUCUGCUCGCUCGUGUUCCCGCUGACAGCCAGCGGGUCCUGCUUUGCCUCUCAGCUGUUACCUCUGCCUUUCUUUCGCCUACUUAUCCUGGGGCUCACAGCCAGCCCCCCCGGAGAGCUGGAGCACCUCCCCAGCGCUCCCAAGGCAGGCUGGAAAGGCGGGAGCGUGGCCGGGAGCAGCAGCAUUUCCAGGACGAGCAGGAAUGUGCUCCCAGGAGAGCCGCCCUGGCUUCCUCCCUCAUUCUUUAUUCAUGA
rnacentral:lncRNA from 1 species